rnacentral:rRNA from 1 species
CCUACGGGAGGCAGCAGUGGGGAAUAUUGGACAAUGGGGGCAACCCUGAUCCAGCCAUGCCGCGUGUGUGAAGAAGGCCCUCGGGUUGUAAAGCACUUUCAGUGAGGAAGAACGCCUGGUGGUUAAUACCCAUCAGGAAAGACAUCACUCACAGAAGAAGCACCGGCUAACUCCGUGCCAGCAGCCGCGGUAAUACGGAGGGUGCGAGCGUUAAUCGGAAUUACUGGGCGUAAAGCGCGCGUAGGUGGCUUGAUAAGCCGGUUGUGAAAGCCCCGGGCUCAACCUGGGAACGGCAUCCGGAACUGUCAAGCUAGAGUGCAGGAGAGGAAGGUAGAAUUCCCGGUGUAGCGGGGAAAUGCGUAGAGAUCGGGAGGAAUACCAGUGGCGAAGGCGGCCUUCUGGACUGACACUGACACUGAGGUGCGAAAGCGUGGGUAGCAAACAGGAUUAGAUACCCGGGUAGUC